rnacentral:rRNA from 1 species
GACGAACGCUGGCGGCGUGCUUAACACAUGCAAGUCGAACGGAAAGGCCCUGCUUUUGUGGGGUGCUCGAGUGGCGAACGGGUGAGUAACACGUGAGUAACCUGCCCUUGACUUUGGGAUAACUUCAGGAAACUGGGGCUAAUACCGGAUAGGAGCUCCUGCUGCAUGGUGGGGGUUGGAAAGUUUCGGCGGUUGGGGAUGGACUCGCGGCUUAUCAGCUUGUUGGUGGGGUAGUGGCUUACCAAGGUUUUGACGGGUAGCCAGCCUGAGAGGGUGACCGGCCACAUUGGGACUGAGAUACGGCCCAGACUCCUACGGGAGGCAGCAGUGGGGAAUAUUGCACAAUGGGCGGAAGCCUGAUGCAGCAACGCCGCGUGCGGGAUGACGGCCUUCGGGUUGUAAACCGCUUUCGCCUGUGACGAAGCGUGAGUGACGGUAAUGGGUAAAGAAGCACCGGCUAACUACGUG